rnacentral:rRNA from 1 species
GAUGGGGGGGCAGUCUGAUGCAGCGACGCCGCGUGAGUGAUGAAGGCCUUCGGGUUGUAAAGCUCUGUUGUCAGGGAAGAAGGCGAUGGGGCCUUACUACGAGUCCCUUGACGGUUCCUUGCCAGAAACCCCCGGAUUAAUACAUGCCAGCAGCCGCGGUAAU